GAAGAAGAAAAGCACAACAAACCACACCGAUCCAUCGAACUACUGCGAAGAUAUAUUGUAGCCUAAGUUUUCACCUAUCCUACAGAAAAAAAAUCGAUUCUGCUGUUGGGAAGAUCACAAGGUUGUCCAUAACCGGAGGAGACUCUGUUAAAAAAACAGUGUUGUGGGUGUGCAGGAAGGUCAUCGGCGCUAAACUGGGCAUCCAGUUAAACUGGUGUGGGAGGGGCCAGAAGACGGGCAUCAAAUCACGGCCGAUUCAUGACAUUCUACUGAUGUCAGUGCUUAAAAACAAAACCCUAUCCAGCGCCACAAAAGCCGAGGUGGAGGCCGCCAUUCAGGCCUGGCUGCGGGUGAGCCUAGACAGGCUUGGAGGAGGGGGGAGAUGCAGACGAGCCCCACCAUAGCGCUCUAGAUUUGACUAGCGCUAACACAAGCAUAAAGGAGGAGACAGUCUGUCAGGAGGAGAAUCUCUGUUGUCUUGGCCUUCAGAUGUAGGCCUGUUGUUGAGAGAGAGAGAGAGAGUAAGUUUGUUUGUUCCUGUGUGUGUGUGUGUGUGUGUGUUUUUGCGUAUUUGCCUAUUGUUCUUCUCAUUUUGCAGAUACUGAGUCUGAGUUCUGACAUUAAAGUUUCUUCACUUGAA